AUUCUACUCCCUCCAUUGCACAAUACAUGCCUUCUAUUUGUCAAAAUAUAUAUGUAUCUAGACAUAUUUUAGUAUAUAGGUACAUCCAUUUUUGGACAAAUGGAAGUCAAAUAUUUUGGAAUAGAGGGAGUACACA
rfam:Triticum aestivum genome assembly, contig: Triticum_aestivum_CS42_TGACv1_scaffold_331111_4BS